GACGAGCCUCACAAACGUUAUUCGGAAUUACUGGGCUUAAAGGGUGCGUAGGCGGCGUAGAAAGUUGGGUGUGAAAUCCCUCGGCUUAACCGAGGAACUGCGCCCAAAACUACCGUGCUCGAGGGAGACAGAGGUGAGCGGAACUUAGGGUGGAGCGGUGAAAUGCGUUGAUAUCCUAAGGAACACCAGUGGCGAAAGCGGCUCACUGGGUCUCUUCUGACGCUGAUGCACGAAAGCUAGGGUAGCGAACGGG
rnacentral:rRNA from 1 species